GGCAUCCUACGGGGGGCAGCAGUAGGGAAUCUUCCACAAUGGACGAAAGUCCGAUGGAGCAACGCCGCGUGAGUGAAGAAGGUUUUCGGAUCGUAAAGCUCUGUUGUUGGUGAAGAAGGAUAGAGGUAGUAACUGGCCUUUAUUUGACGGUAAUCAACCAGAAAGUCACGGCUAACUACGUGCCAGCAGCCGCGGUAAUACGUAGGUGGCAAGCGUUGUCCGGAUUUAUUGGGCGUAAAGCGAGCGCAGGCGGAAAAAGAAGUCUGAUGUGAAAGCCCUCGGCUCAACCGAGGGAUUGCAUCGGA
rnacentral:rRNA from 1 species